ACAGGGUGACAGGUGGUGCAUGGUUGUCGUCAGCUCGUGUCGUGAGAUGUUGGGUUAAGUCCCGCAACGAGCGCAACCCUCGACCUUAGUUGCCAGCAUUCAGUUGGGCACUCUAAGGUGACUGCCGGCUAAAAGUCGGAGGAAGGUGGGGAUGACGUCAAAUCAUCAUGCCCCUUAUGACCUGGGCUACACACGUGCUACAAUGGGCGGUACAAGGGGUCGCGAACCCGCGAGGGGGAGCCAAUCCCAAAAAGCCGCUCUCAGUUCGGAUUGCAGGCUGCAACUCGCCUGCAUGAAGCCGGAAUCGCUAGUAAUCGCGGAUCAGCAUGCCGCGGUGAAUACGUUCCCGGGCCUU
rnacentral:rRNA from 1 species